rnacentral:rRNA from 1 species
GCCCGCUCAGUCAGAGUUUGACUCCUGGCUCAGGACGAACGCUGGCGGCGUGCUUAACACAUGCAAGUCGAACGGAAAGGCCCUGCUUGCAGGGUACUCGAGUGGCGAACGGGUGAGCAACACGUGGGUGAUCUGCCCUGCACUUCGGGAUAAGCUUGGGAAACUGGGUCUAAUACCGGAUAGGAACCAUCUUUAGUGCGGUGGUUGGAAAGUUUUUUCGGUGUAGGAUGAGCUCGCGGCCUAUCAGCUUGUUGUGGGUAAUGGCCUACCAAGGCGGCGACGGGUAGCCGGCCUGAGAGGGUGUACGGCCACAUUGGGACUGAGAUACGGCCCAG